rnacentral:RNase_P_RNA from 1 species
GGAGUUGACUGGGUGAUCGCUGCUCUGUUGAUGUCCUUCGGGAGACUGACAGAGGGGAGGAACGUCCGGGCUCCAUAGAGCAGGGUGCCAGGUAACGCCUGGGGGGCGCGAGCCCACGACAAGUGCAACAGAGAGAAAACCGCCGAUGGCCCGUAAGGGAUCAGGUAAGGGUGAAAGGGUGCGGUAAGAGCGCACCGUGCGUCUGGUAACAGUGCGUAGCAAGGUAAACUCCACCCGGAGCAAGACCAAAUAGGCUUCCACAUUGCGUUGCUCGCGUAAGGAAGCGGGUAGGUUGCUCGAGCCUGUGAGUGAUUGCAGGCCUAGACGAAUGGUUACCGCCGCGAAAGCGGAGACAGAACCCGGCGUAUGUGUCAACUCCACCU